UGGGGAAUUUUGGACAAUGGGGGAAACCCUGAUCCAGCCAUCCCGCGUGUGCGAUGAAGGCCUUCGGGUUGUAAAGCACUUUUGGCAGGAAAGAAACGUCAUGGGUUAAUACCCCGUGAAACUGACGGUACCUGCAGAAUAAGCACCGGCUAACUACGUGCCAGCAGCCGCGGUAAUACGUAGGGUGCAAGCGUUAAUCGGAAUUACUGGGCGUAAAGCGUGCGCAGGCGGUUCGGAAAGAAAGAUGUGAAAUCCCAGAGCUCAACUUUGGAACUGCAUUUUUAACUACCGGGCUAGAGUGUGUCAGAGGGAGGUGGAAUUCCGCGUGUAGCAGUGAAAUGCGUAGAUAUGCGGAGGAACACCGAUGGCGAAGGCAGCCACCUGGGAUAACACUGACGCUCAUGCACGAAAGCGUGGGGAGCAAACAGG
rnacentral:rRNA from 1 species